AUGUUUGACUAUACCAACAUAUUAUGUGGGAAGACAGUAAAAGAACAUGACAAGAAAAAGAAAAGAGAGCAGAAAACCUAUGUUUUGUUCCACUCACCUAUCCCAUUAGAGUCUCUAAAUAUAUGGAAAAAAAAGCGUGUGCUAGUAAACAAAAAGCACAUCGCCAAUAGUUGUACCACAACAUCAGCCUCAGCCAUAUCAAUCAGUUCCAACGCAUCUUCAGUCUUCAUCACCAGCAGGCCAACGCCUCAGCUUUCUCCUCCUUUUUCCGCCCAAUCCACCCUUCUUUCCUUCUUCCUCUCUCGUUGCCUUAACCUCCGCUCUCUUCUGCUCCUCCGAUAA
rnacentral:rRNA from 1 species